rnacentral:rRNA from 1 species
UCAAACUCUAAUUAAUACCUUAUGGUAUCACAGAUAGGCAUCUUGAAGUGAUUAAAGAUUUAUCGGUACAGGAUGAGCAUGCGUAAGAUUAGAUAGUUGGUGAGGUAACGGCUCACCAAGUCGACGAUCUUUAGGGGUUCUGAGAGGAUGAUCCCCCACACUGGUACUGAGAUACGGACCAGACUCCUACGGGAGGCAGCAGUAGGGAAUAUUGGUCAAUGGGCGAGAGCCUGAACCAGCCAUGCCGCGUGCAGGAUGACAGCCUUCUGGGUUGUAAACUGCUUUUAUAUGGGAAGAAAAAGGCCUUGCGAGGCAAAUUGCCGGUACCAUAUGAAUAAGCACCGGCUAACUCCGUGCCAGCAGCCGCGGUAAUACGGAGGGUGCAAGCGUUGUCCGGAUUUAUUGGGUUUAAAGGGUACGUAGGCGGAUCUUUAAGUCCGUGGUGAAAGCCUGCAGCUUAACUGUAGAACUGCCAUGGAUACUGGAGAUCUUGAAUUCAGUUGAGGUAAGCGGAAUUUAUGAUGUAGCGGUGAAAUGCAUAGAUAUCAUAAAGAACACCUAUUGCGAAGGCAGCUUGCUGGACUUGGAUUGACGCUGAGGUACGAAAGCGUGGGGAGCGAACAGGAUUAGAUACCCUGGUAGUCCACGCCGUAAACGAUG